rnacentral:rRNA from 1 species
UACGAAGGGUGCAAACGUUGCUCGGAAUUAUUGGGCGUAAAGCGCACGUAGGCGGCAUUGCAAGUCGGAUGUGAAAUCCCUCGGCUUAACCAAGGAAGUGCAUCCGAAACUGCAGUGCUUGAGUACUUAAGAGGAUCGCGGAAUUCCCGGUGUAGAGGUGAAAUUCGUAGAUAUCGGGAGGAACACCAGUGGCGAAGGCGGCGUCUGGGGAAGAUACUGACGCUGAGGUGCGAAAACGUGGGG